CCUACGGGAGGCAGCAGUGGGGUAUAUUGCGCAAUGGGCGGAAGCCUGACGCAGCGACGCCGCGUGAGGGAUGAAGGCCUUCGGGUUGUAAACCUCUUUCAGCAGGGACGAAGCGCAAGUGACGGUACCUGCAGAAGAAGCACCGGCCAACUACGUGCCAGCAGCCGCGGUAAUACGUAGGGUGCAAGCGUUGUCCGGAAUUAUUGGGCGUAAAGAGCUCGUAGGCGGUCUGUCGCGUCGGCUGUGAAAACUCGGGGCUCAACCCCGAGCCUGCAGUCGAUACGGGCAGACUAGAGUGCUGUAGGGGAGACUGGAAUUCCUGGUGUAGCGGUGAAAUGCGCAGAUAUCAGGAGGAACACCGGUGGCGAAGGCGGGUCUCUGGGCAGUAACUGACGCUGAGGAGCGAAAGCGUGGGGAGCGAACAGGAUUAGAUACCCUGGUAGUCCACGCCGUAAACGGUGGGUGCUAGGUGUGAGCGGUAUUCCACGCCGUUCGUGCCGCAGCUAACGCAUUAAGCACCCCGCCUGGGGAGUACGGCCGCAAGGCUAAAACUCAAAGGAAUUGACGGGGGCCCGCACAAGCAGCGGAGCAUGUGGCUUAAUACGACGCAACGCGAAGAACCUUACCAAGGCUUGACAUGCAGGGAAAUCCUCCAGAGAUGGGGGGUCCGCAAGGGUCCUGCACAGGUGGUGCAUGGUUGUCGUCAGCUCGUGUCGUGAGAUGUUGGGUUAAGUCCCGCAACGAGCGCAACCCUCGUUCUAUGUUGCCAGCGGGAUGCCGGGGACUCAUAGGAGACUGCCGGGGUCAACUCGGAGGAAGGUGGGGACGACGUCAAAUCAUCAUGCCCCUUAUGUCUUGGCUGCACACAUGCUACAUGGCCGGUACAAAGGGCUGCUAAACCGCGAGGUGAGCGAAUCCCAAAAAGUCGUCUCAGUUCGGAUUGGGUUCUGCACUCGACCCAUGAAGUCGAGUGCUAGUAUCGCAGAUCAGCACGCGCGUGAAUACGUUCCCGG
rnacentral:rRNA from 1 species